rnacentral:rRNA from 1 species
UACGGAGGAUGCGAGCGUUAUCCGGAUUUAUUGGGUUUAAAGGGUGCGUAGGCGGGACGCCAAGUCAGCGGUAAAAAUGCGGUGCUCAACGCCGUCGAGCCGUUGAAACUGGUGUUCUUGAGUGGGCGAGAAGUAUGCGGAAUGCGUGGUGUAGCGGUGAAAUGCAUAGAUAUCACGCAGAACUCCGAUUGCGAAGGCAGCAUACCGGCGCCCUACUGACGCUGAGGCACGAAAGCGUGGGUAUCGAACAGG